CCUACGGGGGGCAGCAGUGGGGCAUAUUGGGCAAUGGGCGCAAGCCUGACCCAGCAAUGCCGCGUGAAGGAAGAAGGCUUUCGGGUUGUAAACUUCUUUUGUCAGUGAAGAGUAGUAGACGGUACCUGACGAAUAAGCCACGGCUAACUACGUGCCAGCAGCCGCGGUAAUACGUAGGUGGCAAGCGUUGUCCGGAUUUACUGGGUGUAAAGGGCGUGUAGCCGGGUUGGCAAGUCAGAUGUGAAAUCCUGCGGCUUAACCGCAGAACUGCAUUUGAAACUGUUGAUCUUGAGUACUGGAGAGGCAGACGGAAUUCCUAGUGUAGCGGUGAAAUGCGUAGAUAUUAGGAGGAAAACCAGUGGCGAAGGCGGUCUGCUGGACAGCAACUGACGGUGAGGCGCGAAAGCGUGGGGAGCAAACAGGAUUAGAUACCCGGGUAGUC
rnacentral:rRNA from 1 species